rnacentral:rRNA from 1 species
UACAGAGGGGGCAAGCGUUGUUCGGAAUUACUGGGCGUAAAGGGCGCGUAGGCGGCCUUCUAAGUCGAACGUGAAAUCCCCGGGCUCAACCCGGGAACUGCGUCCGAUACUGGAAGGCUUGAAUCCGGGAGAGGGAUGUGGAAUUCCAGGUGUAGCGGUGAAAUGCGUAGAUAUCAGGAGGAACACCGGUGGCGAAGGCGGGUCUCUGGGCAGUAACUGACGCUGAGGAGCGAAAGCGUGGGGAGCGAACAGG